UACGUAGGGUGCGAGCGUUAAUCGGAAUUACUGGGCGUAAAGCGUGCGCAGGCGGUUAUGCAAGACAGAUGUGAAAUCCCCCGGGCUCAACCUGGGAACUGCAUUUGUGACUGCAUGGCUGGAGUGCGGCAGAGGGGGAUGGAAUUCCGCGUGUAGCAGUGAAAUGCGUAGAUAUGCGGAGGAACACCGAUGGCGAAGGCAAUCCCCUGGGCCUGCACUGACGCUCAUGCACGAAAGCGUGGGGAGCAAACGGG
rnacentral:rRNA from 1 species